GAUGAACGCUGGCGGCGUGCCUAACACAUGCAAGUCGAACGGAGAUUACGGACGGAAGUUUUCGGAUGGAAGCCUGUAAUUCUUAGUGGCGGACGGGUGAGUAACGCGUGGGCAACCUGCCCUAUACAGGGGGAUAGCAGCUGGAAACGGCUGGUAAGACCGCAUAAGUCGGUUAAAUCGCAUGAUUUGAUCGGGAAAUGAGCAAUCAGGUAUAGGAUGGGCCCGCGUCCGAUUAGCCAGUUGGCAGGGUAAAAGCCUACCAAAGCGACGAUCGGUAGCCGGACUGAGAGGUCGGACGGCCACAUUGGGACUGAGACACGGCCCAAACUCCUACGGGAGGCAGCAGUGGGGGAUAUUGCACAAUGGAGGAAACUCUGAUGCAGCGACGCCGCGUGAGUGAAGAAGUAUUUCGGUAUGUAAAGCUCUAUCAGCAGGGAAGAUGAUGACGGUACCUGACGAAGAAGCCCCGGCUAACUACGUG
rnacentral:rRNA from 1 species